GACGAACGCUGGCGGCGUGCCUAACACAUGCAAGUCGAACGGUGAAGCUCCAGCUUGCUGGAGUGGAUCAGUGGCGAACGGGUGAGUAACACGUGAGCAACCUGUCCCUGACUGAGGAAUAUGCUCUGGAAACAGCGUCUAUUACUGGAUACGAUAUGGGUCCGCAUGGGCACCCUCUGGAAAGUUUUUCGGUUGGGGAUGGGCUCGCGGCCUAUCAGCUUGUUGCUGAGGUAAUGGCUCACCAAGGCGACGACGGGUAGCCGGCCUGAGAGGGCGACCGGACACACUGGGCCUGAGACACGGCACAGACUCGUACGGGAGGCAACGGUGGAGAGUAUUACACAGUACGCGGGAGCAAGGCGCGGCGAAGCCGCGUGGGGGAUGACGGGCUUCGGGUUGUAAACCUAUUUCAGCAGACAAGAAGCGAAAGUGACGGUACCUGCAGAAGAAGCACCGGCUAACUACGUG
rnacentral:rRNA from 1 species